CUAAACGAAGUUAAACUCUCACAUUCUCUCAAACCUAUGCGGUUCAAUGCAUCGACCUCAGAGAGUCUCUUCCUCUUCUACUCUUCUAGUCUUCUUCUUCCAAAAAGUCUUCAAUUCCAAGCUCAAAUACAACUCUUCUAGUCUUUUUCUUCCUCUCCUGAAAUUGCAGUUCGUUGGGUUUGUGUUUGGAGCAAGGCCAAAAGGGUGACUAAUGCGAUUUAAUCUGGGGAGCAAAUUGGGAGCAAUCUGAUUUUGCAGAUUUUUCAGUAAUUUAAGACUGAAUGAGCACUUUUCUGGGUUGACGAAAUUGGGAAUGCUGGGUUGCUGCAAUCCUUGGAUUGGUGGAGCACUCUUAAGGUACAUGAUAUGUACAACUGCGAUCGGACUGGCCUACGCGCGCAUUGCUGCAAAUUCCAUUAGCAGUACUCUACUUCUUGUGAACAGGGAAACGGCUAGUAGAACACGAUGGAGUUGUUCUGUUUGAGUUUUAUGGUGAUAAGAUUAGUACGCUUCAUUUUACAAGCAAGCCUUCUCUAGUAAGGCUGUGUCAUUCCUUCUAGCUACGGGAGUGGGUACAGGCCUAGGGUUUGCUGAUGGUACUGCUGUUAGAAAGAAAAUUAUCGAUGAGAGUUUGGCCUUUCUCUCCAGCUUUCUAUCAUCCCUAUAUAUUCUGUCGAAAUUACAUCCUUUUUUUUAACAUCUAGACAAUUUUAACCAUUUACUCAAGAUGGCAAAUCUCUCCGCGGCCUUCCUACUCAUGGCUUGCAUUUGCACCGGAGCAUCGUCGAUAAUAUCUUCUUUGGCACUAUCCAACAAACAAGAGAAAACCAAUCAGACUACUCAAAGCGGAAGUACUUGAUUCAUAAUUUGUAUAUUUACUAUAUAUAUUGCGUACGUAUGCGUAUGUAAUGACCCUUAAGCCAUCCUUCAAUCCUUCAUAUAAACUAUUCUUGGAUCCGGAUCCUGAAAGCGGAAGUACUUGAUUAAUAAUUUGUAUAUUUACUAUAUAUAUUGCGUACGUAUACGUAUGUAAUGACCC